rnacentral:rRNA from 1 species
GAUGAACGCUGGCGGCGUGCCUAAUACAUGCAAGUCGAGCGAACAGACGAGGAGCUUGCUCCUCUGACGUUAGCGGCGGACGGGUGAGUAACACGUGGAUAACCUACCUAUAAGACUGGGAUAACUUCGGGAAACCGGAGCUAAUACCGGAUAAUAUAUUGAACCGCAUGGUUCAAUAGUGAAAGACGGUUUUGCUGUCACUUAUAGAUGGAUCCGCGCCGUAUUAGCUAGUUGGUAAGGUAACGGCUUACGAAGGCAACGAUGCGUAGCCGACCUGAGAGGGUGAUCGGCCACACUGGAACUGAGACACGGUCCAGACUCCUACGGGAGGCAGCAGUAGGGAAUCGUCCGCAAUGGGCGAAAGCCUGACGGAGCAACGCCGCGUGAGUGAUGAAGGUCUUCGGAUCGUAAAACUCUGUUAUUAGGGAAGAACAAAUGUGUAAGUAACUAUGCACGUCGUGACGGUACCUAAUCAGAAAGCCACGGCUAACUACGUG